ensembl:lncRNA
UGUUUCUGAGCAGACCCAGGAUCUAAGCCCUGUCCUGUUUCAAUAUCUGAAGAAAGCUAUGUACCAAGUUCCGUCCAAGAUGGAUAAUCCAAACCUGAGAUUCUCCAAACCAUGAUUACUUCACAGGACUUUUUUCUCUUCAGGCCCCUGAGCAAACCAGCAGGUGCACCACAAGAUAGAGAGUAAGCCUCUGGGUGAAAUGUUACCGAUCAGGCUGCUGAUCCAAUUUACACACCUAGCAGAUGCAUGUUUCCUCUUAGGAUGUACUUGGUACAGAGAAGAUCUGGGUUCCCUGACUGGUGCGUGUGUGAGGCUGCUUCCAGGAACUGCAGGAAUAGACCUUUCCCAACCGCAGGAAUAGACCUUUCCCAUAAGCAAGUUGUCCUGUUGAUCCCGAGUCCAAGAAUGGCCCUGUCUUCCCAGGUAGAAGGACAAUGGAAGUGGAUGAGGAUUUUUAUUAGCUCGACCCCAAGAUACCUGAAGAACUACAUUCCUAAGAAAGGAUAAAGGUUACUUUCCAAAUGUGGACUCAAAAUACACUGAAGUGAUGACGACUUCUGCAUUUUCAUUGGUCUGCUUGCGUCUGCCUUCCUUUCCUGUGGAAAUAGAAGAUAUGGGCAGGAGAAAAGACAUAUUUGGUAAUGUUUCUCUUCAAAGCUUCUAUUUCACAAGGCUGCCUCAGCUGCAAAAUGUUAAGGGGAAAAAAAGAUCUUGGAACUAAUUCCAGACAGACCCUAAUGCCUACAAAUUUCUCUAGGUAAGCCAAGUCCAGAGAGGCAAAACAUGAAGGUUCAUUAUUUGACUGCUAAGGACACUCAAAUAACCAGACACACCAGUACUUAAGAUCUUCAUAUUUCAGACAGCUCGUCUUUCACAUCCUCCCUCAUCCUGUGCUCCCACCCGGCUCACUUCUUAUGUUUCCCUUCAUCUUCAGCAACUCCACUGCAUUUAAAAUUGUUUAUAGAACAUACGGAAAUACAAAAAUAUUCUUUAAGAUACUGAUGGGGAAACAGUCUGUUCAUCUACUUGUCUAUUUGGUGGGGACACUUACAGCUCCCCUAAUUGCUUCAGCUAGUUGGUUGCUAGUUGUUUUUCUUCCUCUCCAGAAACUCCAAAAGAGCUUGGUGGGUCUCUUUUUAUCUUGUUUUAAUAAGAAUUGACUGAGGGAAUGCUAUGGAGGUUAGCAUAUUGGGCAGAUGUCUCUGACUCGUCUUUCUUCCAGAGCUGCUCUCAGGGCAGGAUUUGGAGCGGCUGUAUUCAGUUUCAAGGUUUUUUGGGGAGCUACUUCUGGAGCAUCACAGGACUGCUUAACCAACAGCCACCAUCCCAGGCCAGAAAGGUGGACAACUUAUGUUCCCUCCAUUCAGUGCAUAUCCAAGAUAGCCCAGAGACCUAUGCAGGACAAAAAUGAUUGCAAGUUGUAAAUUUUUCAGUAAAACCUCUGUUUUAGCUCUUGCCAAAACAACUCACAAAUUCAUCGAAAACCUCUUACUAGUUCUCUCAGGAAAAAGUGUACUUCAGCUACUCUCAGAUGUAUAGGAGUAAACCUGAAAGAGAGACAGACACUCCCAAUCUGUCUAAUAUUUUUCAAUAUUACCUAUUACAAUUCAGCUGAUCCUAACGUAAUUUAUGAAAUUAAUCAGCAUUAAUUUCUUGUUCUAAAGCAUGUUAUACAUUCUGAAAUGGCCUAUCAGUGGAUAUUUGAAUAUAAUGAUCCUUUCCCUUAUUUCUUUUCAGUGAGGCUUAAUCAAUUUUCUGUGAGAUGGAAGCUGAAUGCAGUGGUGAACAGAAGCUGGUAUGUGUUUUUGAAGCUGAAUGCAGAAUUGCAAGCUUUUUUUUUCCCCUACAGUUUUCUCAAAUCAUAUUUCAUUGCUCGUGGAUUCUUAUUAGUAGAUUCUCAGUUAAUAUCCUCAGUCUCCUCCAACAUUUAGGAAGCUUGAACGUGUCCUAUGUCCUGUUGCCAUAAGCUGCAUUUAGUCUGAUGAGUGACUCUAUUACAAUAUAAAAACUUAAAGGAGUGGUUAGCAUGCAGACAUUUUGCAUUCGUAUUUAAUAAUGUUGUUUAUAAUACUGAAAUAAUAGCUGUUUCCACAGUUUUGAAUGCCAAAAGUGGUUAUUCAGAUAUCUAAUCUAACCUCCUAUAUAAUGCAGCCUAUAGAACUGGGUUGUUUGGCUAACAAACAGUGGACUUUUACAGCACAAUCAAUUAACUGUCUGCAGCUGCGAAGUUACAUAAAACAGCUUUUCUCCUUCCUCCUCCAGUGGACUGAGGAAGAAACUGUAGUCUAGAAGUUGCUUUGUAAGAAUACUGUUUAGAGUAUGAGUAGAACAGACAGAAAUACGAGAAAAGCUCUGAGACUGCCAAAAAUCUCAUUUUUUGGAAGAGCAGCCCUAGGGCUUUUAGAAAUGCUAUUUAAAUGAGAUAAUUUCUGUCUCACUAGAAAAUAAAUAUUCCCUGACAUUAAAAAUAUUUGCGGAC